GAUUAAGCCAUGCAUGUGUAAGUAUAAAUGAUUAUACAGUGAAACUGCGAAUGGCUCAUUAUAUCAGUUAUAGUUUAUUUGAUAAAUAUCUUACUAUUUGGAUAACCGUAGUAAUUCUAGAGCUAAUACAUGAAUAAAAUCCUUUUUUUCUUAUAAAGAAGGAUGUAUUUAUUAGAUGAAAGCCAAUUUAUUUUAUUGGUGAAUCAUAAUAAAUUCUCGGAUCGUAUGGUUUUAUACUAACGAUAAAUCAUUCAAGUUUCUGCCCUAUCAGCUUUCGAUGGUAGUGUAUUGGACUACCAUG
rnacentral:rRNA from 2 species